rnacentral:rRNA from 1 species
AUUGAACGCUGGCGGCAGGCCUAACACAUGCAAGUCGAGCGAGCGGCGGACGGGUGAGUAAUGUCUGGGAAACUGCCUGAUGGAGGGGGAUAACUACUGGAAACGGUAGCUAAUACCGCAUACCAUCAGAUGUGCCCAGAUGGGAUUAGCUAGUAGGUGGGGUAAUGGCUCACCUAGGCGACGAUCCCUAGCUGGUCUGAGAGGAUGACCAGCCGCACCGGAACUGGGACACGUUCCAUCCGCCGACGGGAGGCAGCAGUGGUGAAUAUUGCACAAUGGGCGCAAUCCUGAUGCAGCCAUGCCGCGUGUGUGAAGAAGGCCUUCGGGUUGGAAAGCACUUUCAGCGAGGAGGCGUUACUCGCAGAAGAAGCACCGGCUAACUCCGUGCCAGCAGCCGCGGUAAUUC